rnacentral:rRNA from 1 species
CGGCGCACGGGUGAGUAACACGUAUCCAACCUGCCGAUAACUCGGGGAUAGCCUUUCGAAAGAAAGAUUAAUAUCCGAUAGUAUAUUAAAACCGCAUGGUUUUACUAUUAAAGAAUUUCGGUUAUCGAUGGGGAUGCGUUCCAUUAGUUUGUUGGCGGGGUAACGGCCCACCAAGACUACGAUGGAUAGGGGUUCUGAGAGGAAGGUCCCCCACAUUGGAACUGAGACACGGUCCAA